GAGUUUUGACUGGGUUGUAGCUGGCCUUCCGAGGCAUGUGCACGCCCUGCUCAUCCACUCUACACCUGUGCACUUACUGUGGGUUUCAGAUGUUAUUAGCGGGGCCUUUACGGGUCUCGUGAAAGCGUCUGUGCCUGCGUUUAUUACAAACUCUUACAAGUAACAGAAUGUGUAUUGCGAUGUAACGCAUUUAAAUACAACUUUCAGCAACGGAUCUCUUGGCUCU
rnacentral:misc_RNA from 1 species